UCGGCCCCUCGCGACGCUAGGUCGAAAACCCCGCCAGGGCCGGAAGGCAGCAACGGUAUCGAUCGACGCGGGCGCCGAGGUCAGCCGG
rnacentral:SRP_RNA from 4 species